GACGAACGCUGGCGGCGUGCUUAACACAUGCAAGUCGAACGGAAAGGCCCUGCUUUUGUGGGGUGCUCGAGUGGCGAACGGGUGAGUAACACGUGAAUAACCUGCCCUUGACUUUGGGAUAACUUCAGGAAACUGGGGCUAAUACCGGAUAGGAGCUCCUGCUGCAUGGUGGGGGUUGGAAAGUUUCGGCGGUUGGGGAUGGACUCGCGGCUUAUCAGCUUGUUGGUGGGGUAGUGGCUUACCAAGGCUUUGACGGGUAGCCGGCCUGAGAGGGUGACCGGCCACAUUGCGACUGAGAUACGGCCCAGACUCCUACGGGAGGCAGCAGUGGGGAAUAUAGCACAAUGGGCGGAAGCCUGAUGCAGCAACGCCGCGUGCGGGAUGACGGCCUUCGGGUUGUAAACCGCUUUCGCCUGUGACGAAGCGUGAGUGACGGUAAUGGGUAAAGAAGCACCGGCUAACUACGUG
rnacentral:rRNA from 1 species